rnacentral:lncRNA from 1 species
AAAAGAAAAAUCCCAAAUGAUUAUUAUUAAAAUCCGGGCCUCGAGUUCAAGUCUUGAUACAAACAAAAGGACGAACGUUUUAGCUUGAAUCUGCUACUUAACUCAAGACCCGAAACAAAAUAUUUAAACACUAACGGAUCAACUGUCAAUCUUACUCUCAGGCCCAACAGGCCUAAACCAUAUACUACGCACACCUAUAGGCCUGAAGAUAAAAUAGCUUUCCAGCAUACAAAUCAUGUAAAGUAUUCAAGUCCUUAAUAAGACUUACACCAAUAAGAUCAUAUAAAUUCCUACUUUGUCAAAGUGCAUGAGAACAUGCGGGCAUAGGUCUUAAACAGAUAACACAAAAUGAACAAAUUAAUUACUCCCAAGUUUGAAGUUGCAAUUGAUUUCAGAAGCACCUGCACGCCCCAUUGUUCUUGAUUCCUUUUGAUUUCUUUUAAAACAAACAUGAACACUAACUAAGUGAGUGCUGACUACAGAUGAAUGAAGGCUUAAUGAUCACAAAUGAAGAAAAUUCAAACACCAUCCAGUUAUGCUCAUACGAAAGCCUACAACUCCAUAGCUAUUCUGGAUACACAAAUUGUACCUAAUGUUCUCGAGGUAAAAGUAGUUCAACAUUCAAAUUAACCAAUAUAACCAAGGACCUUAAUAACUUUUCCUUGUUUCAAAAAUCAUCACAAUGCAAAGCUAUAGCUAAAAAUCUUGCAGAAUUAUAAUCACUAAACAACCAAACAAUUGGAAUGAAUACAACAAAAUCAAAUCCCAAAACUCUUCAUAGAAUCAAACACAUAGUAGAACUUCGUUAGGCCUCAAAAUAUCACAUCAUUUUUAUUGCAUUAAGGAGAUUACAGCUUCUAACUCUAGUUUGUACCUGGAUAAAUGAAACAUAAGAAGAAGAAGAAGAAGAAAGGAUAAAAAAUGAGUGCCAAACAAGUAGCACUCGGCAAUCACAGACAACGACGAAAUGCAGUUGAUAUUAGCCCAGAAAUAACUUAAUGAUCCCAGAAGUGUUUUUAAACUAGAUGAGACUGAAUAUCAACUUAUAUACCACACCAAACGGCCCAGAAAUGAAUAGAAGAGAUUAAUACUCAACAGGUGAGCCACACCUGGCUUGAAUUAGCCAAAUCCAAAUCUAGAGGACUUGAACUAUUUUUAAAAAAAUACCAAAUCGAACAGAUCAAUGAGAUUCAAACAACUUUCAUCAUGAAUGAGCUAGAAACUCAAAGUAAAUAAGGAAUUCUAUUGUAAUGGUUUUUUUUGGCUAUAUUUUCUUCUGUUUUUGGUUUUUUCUUUUGAAAAUGCUAAGUCCUAGGGGAAUUUCAGAUCUGGAAGCUUGGGGAGUAUUUUUGGGGAAUUUUAGGUUGCCCAAUUUGUGCCUCAAGGCCCUAGUGAUGCCCUUUUAUAGGAACAAUUAAGAGGGCAUCAGAUUAAUCUUUACAAAAUAGUUCCUCUUUUUAUUUCUUUUUAACCCUCUAUUUUUCUGACUUGUUACUCAAGUAAAGGCCUUUAAUUACUGAAAUUCUACUUGUAACCCCAUCUAGAGGGUUCUAAAGUGUUCUUUUGCCUAUGCAAUACCUCUAUCACCCUUAUCCUUAAUUUAAAAUUACUAAUUCUAAUAAAACUACCCUUUUCCCAUGCCCAAACUGCCCUUGAACUUUCUUGAAACUACAAAUCUUACAUCUAACUAGCCAUCACCCUCCUUUACCCUAAUCAAAGUCAAUUAAAGCUAAUCAAAGUGUUGAAUUCACUCAGCUAUAUCCAACCACUAACUAACCUUAACAAUUAUUCAAAGAUUUACUUCAAAGAACAAUCAUCGAGGGAACUUAAACAGAACAAACAUUAGAGAGAACAAAAUAGUCCCCCAUCUAGAGGGUUCUAGAGUGUUAUUUUACCUAUGCAUUGCCUAUAUUACCCUUGAAUUUAUUUUGAAUUUACCAUUUUUAAUAAAACUAUCCUUUUUCAUACCUAAACUACCCCUGAAACCCUCAUGAAAUUACUAACCCACCCAAUUAACUAACCAAUCAGACCCUUUUCACCUUAGCUAAAAUUAACUAGAACUAACGAAUCAUAUGAUUUAUUCAGCUAUAAUCCAACCAGGUUCGCCUCUAAUACAAAAUAUUUAAACUGAAUUAAACUAUUACUUAUCCUAAUGCAUAUUCUAACAAGCUGUUAAUCAAACGAUAAUAGUCGUCACCGUUAAACUAACAUCUCAAAAGCAGAAUCACCAAUUAAUCAGAAUAAAGAAGAAACCGAAUAAUAGAAGCAGGCAUCCACAUGAGCUAUCAUUAACACUAUUUAUUCAACUAAUAACAACUAUUAUUUAUGCAUGACACUGAAAUAUGAUCGAUAAACAGAUAACCCAACUAAAUAAUUAAGCUACCGAUGAGUAAGAGCCUAAAUCCUACUGUAAAUUGAAAUGGCUAAUCUGAUAACUAAAACACAAAUUAAGCUAACGUAACAAUAUUAAACUCAAGCAAGUAAAAAAUAAAAUCAGAGUUAACUAUGGACGAUUUCUAGAAAUCAAACUUAUUGAGCGGAAGAAAGAGAAGGAGAAAUUAAACUAUACUAAUAAAAUUAAGUCAGAACAUUAAAGAAAACUUACUAUAAAGGACACUCGAUCGAGAAAACUUCCCAAAAACUCAUUUGAACGCGCAUAACACUAGAUUUGAAAUCUGAUGAGACCCAGUGACCUUUGACGGAAACUGACCAUAGAUAUGUGAAGACGAGGGCGAUGAGAGUGCAUGGUAUCAAAUUCGUCUUGUUAGACAAUUUUGUGUUUUGGGAUGAACUUUCAACUACUUAUUCGAAAAGAUCGGGAAAUCAUUGCCAUGGAUGGAAAGAGGAGAGUGGGGAGGACGAGGGGUGUAAAUUUGGGUGUGAUUGGCUUCGCCGCCUCCUUGGGCGGGGGCGGCGGCCCCUAAGGUUUGACAGAUUUGAGGUGAUUGGGUGGGAUUUGGAGAAAAUCAAUGGCGUAUAUAGAACGGGGAGGUUAAGGAGAAGGGUUGGUGUCAUUUUGGGGUCCAUCGGAGCUUCGCCGCCAAUGGCGGCGGUUUUCGGCUGGUGGCAGACAGCGGAGGCACGGCAGAGGACGUGGGGGUGAAUUUAGUACGAGGAAGAUACAAUUGUCUAAGGUUUGGUUAAUUUUUUAGGACAGUUUUAUUUAAUCACUGAGAGAGAACCACAGAUGUUGGAUUAAAAGGAUUGAACGGAUCAGAUCCAAAGGCCCGCAAAAUAACAUUGUUUUGGGGCUCUACAAAUCGGACUGGGUCGGGUGUUGUGG